UUAUGGCAACCAUCUUCGACGUGAAUUACAGAACUUCUUCCAAUGUUGUAAGAUAUGAGAUACCUCUCAUAUCAUAUAGUACAUCAAAUCUCGCAAUCAAGGAGGUCAAAUCAUCACUAUUUUGAAAGAAAUCAAGAGGUAAGAUACAAGAAGUUCAUCAUUUGAAGAUUAAUGAUGUGUUUGAGCAACAUUUAAAAAAAAAUGUAUUUUGGAAUAGUAGUUUGAUGGAGAAUGG
rnacentral:lncRNA from 1 species